rnacentral:rRNA from 1 species
UACGUAUGGUGCAAGCGUUAUCCGGAUUUACUGGGUGUAAAGGGAGCGUAGGCGGCGCGUUAAGUCUGAUGUGAGAACCCGAGGCUCAACCACGGGAGUGCAUUGGAAACUGGCGAGCUGGAGUGCCGGAGAGGUAAGCGGAAUUCCUAGUGUAGCGGUGAAAUGCGUAGAUACUAGGAGGAACACCAGUGGCGAAGGCGGCUUACUGGACGGCAACUGACGCUGAGGCUCGAAAGCGUGGGGAGCAAACAGG